rnacentral:rRNA from 1 species
AACGAACGCUGGCGGCAUGCCUAACACAUGCAAGUCGAACGAAACCUUCGGGUCUAUUGGCGCACGGGGGCGUAACACGUGGGAACCUACCCUUAGGUUCGGAAUAACUCCCCGAAAGGUGUGCUAAUACCGGAUAAUGUCUUCGGACCAAAGAUUUAUCGCCUUUGGAUGGGCCCUCGUUGGAUUAGCUAGUUGGUAGGGUAAUAGCCUAUCAAGGCGACGAUUCAUCGCUGGUCUGUUAGGAUGCCCAGCCACACUGGGACUGAGGCACGGCCCAGACUCCUACGGGAGGCAGCGGUGGGGAAUAUUGGAGACUGGGCGCAAGCCUGAUCAAGCAGUGCCGCGUGAGUGAUGAAGGCCUUAGGGUUGUAAAGCUCUUUUACCCGAGAUGAUAAUGACGGUACCGGGAGAAUAAGCACCGGCUAACUCCGUG